GUAGUCCACACAGUAAACGAUGAGUGCUAGGUAUUGGAACCGAUGGUUUCAGUGCCGUAGCUAACGCGUUAAGCACUCCGCCUGAGGAGUACGAUCGCAAGAUUAAAACUUAAAGGAAUUGACGGGGACUCGCACAAGCGGUGGAACAUGUGGUUUAAUUCGAUGUUACGCGAAAAACCUUACCAGAUCUUGACAUGUUGGUCGUAUGCCUAGGAAACUAGGCAGUCAGUUCGGCUGGACCAUCACAGGUGUUGCAUGGCUGUCGUCAGCUCGUGUCGUGAGAUGUUGGGUUAAGUCCCGCAACGAGCGCAACCCUUAUCCUUAGUUACCAGCGGGUUAUGCCGGGCACUCUAAGGAAACUGCCGGUGAUAAACUGGA
rnacentral:rRNA from 1 species